rnacentral:rRNA from 1 species
UGCGUAGGCGGAACUUUAAGUCAGUGGUGAAAUCCUGCGGCUCAACCGUAGAACUGCCAUUGAUACUGAAGUUCUUGAAUGCAGUUGAGGUAGGCGGAAUGUGUAAUGUAGCGGUGAAAUGCAUAGAUAUUACACAGAACACCGAUUGCGAAGGCAGCUUACUAAACUAUUAUUGACGCUGAUGUACGAAAGCGUGGGGAGCGAACAGGAUUAGAUACCCUGGUAGUCC